rnacentral:misc_RNA from 1 species
UCCGAGUUGACCCCGGCAGUCUCCUGCGAGUCCCCGCCAUUACGCGCUGGCAACACAGGACAAGGGUUGCGCUCGUUGCGGGACUUAACCCAACAUCUCACGACACGAGCUGACGACAGCCAUGCACCACCUGUCACUCUGUCCCCCGAAGGGGAUAGUCCUAUCUCUAGGAUUGUCAGAGGAUGUCAAGACCUGGUAAGGUUCUUCGCGUUGCUUCGAAUUAAUCCACAUAAUCCACCGCUUGUGCGGGUCCCCGUCAAUUCCUUUGAGUUUUAGCCUUGCGGCCGUACUCCCCAGGCGGGGCGCUUAAUGCGUUAGCUACGGCACGGAACCCAUGGAAUAGGUCCCACACCUAGCGCCCAACGUUUACGGUGUGGACUAC